GUGCCUUAAACUAAUGAGUAAGGAAAAUUACGGGCCUUGGUGACGCUUGGCCUGUCCGCACUCCGGUGCGGGCAUCUGACAAUUUUUGAAGAGGACAAGAUCGUCCCUUGAGCGUCCUGCCUACUUUGCAGGAUGCUCGGGUGCUUGCGAUCUACCUC
rfam:Anopheles darlingi Cont2863, whole genome shotgun sequence.